rnacentral:rRNA from 1 species
GACGAACGCUGGCGGCGUGCUUAACACAUGCAAGUCGAACGGGAACCUUUAUUUCGGUAAGGGAGAGAGUGGCAAACGGGUGAGUAACACGUAGGCAACCUGCCGACAGGAUGGGGACAACAUUCCGAAAGGAAUGCUAAUACCGAAUGGAGUCCGAGGAUGGCAUCAUCCUUGGAUCAAAGAUGGCCUCUUAACAAUGCUAUCGCCUGUCGAUGGGCCUGCGUCUGAUUAGCCAGUUGGCGGGGUAACGGCCCACCAAAGCGACGAUCAGUAGCCGGUCUGAGAGGAUGAACGGCCACAUUGGGACUGAGACACGGCCCAGACUCCUACGGGAGGCAGCAGUGGGGAAUCUUCCACAAUGGGCGAAAGCCUGAUGGAGCAACGCCGCGUGAGUGAAGAAGGUCUUUCGGAUCGUAAAGCUCUGUUGCACGGGACG